UGGGGAAUAUUGCACAAUGGGCGCAAGCCUGAUGCAGCCAUGCCGCGUGUAUGAAGAAGGCCUUCGGGUUGUAAAGUACUUUCAGCGGGGAGGAAGGGAGUAAAGUUAAUACCUUUGCUCAUUGACGUUACCCGCAGAAGAAGCACCGGCUAACUCCGUGCCAGCAGCCGCGGUAAUACGGAGGGUGCAAGCGUUAAUCGAAAUUACUGGGCGUAAAGCGCACGCGGGCGGUUUGUUAAGUCAGAUGUGAAAUCCCCGGGCUCAACCUGGGAACUGCAUCUGAUACUGGCAAGCUUGAGUCUCGUAGAGAGGGGUAGAAUUCCAGGUGUAGCGGUGAAAUGCGUAGAGAUCUGGAGGAAUACCGGUGGCGAAGGCGGCCCCCUGGACGAAGACUGACGCUCAGGUGGGAAAGCGUGGGGAGCAAACAGG
rnacentral:rRNA from 1 species